AUUGAACGCUGGCGGCAGGCUUAACACAUGCAAGUCGAACGAGUGGCGGACGGGUGAGUAAUGUCUGGGAAUCUAGCUUAUGGAGGGGGAUAACUACGGGAAACGGUAGCUAAUACCGCGUACCAUAGGAUGAGCCCAAGUGGGAUUAGGUUGUUGGUGAGGUAAAGGCUCACCAAGCCGACGAUCCCUAGCUGGUCUGAGAGGAUGACCAGCCACACUGGGACUGAGACACGGCCCAGACUCCUACGGGAGGCAGCAGUGUGGAAUAUUGCGCAAUGGGUGCAACCCUGACGCAGCCAUGCCGCGUGAAUGAAGAAGGCCUUCGGGUUGUAAAGUUCUUUCGGUGGCGAGGCGUUAACUACAGAAGAAGCACCGGCUAACUCCGUGCCAGCAGCCGCGGUAAUUC
rnacentral:rRNA from 1 species